UAAGUGCAUUGCGUGCUCCA
rnacentral:miRNA from 1 species